UUCCCAUGCCGAACACGGAAGUUAAGCUCUUCAGCGCCGAUGGUAGUUGGGGGCUUCCCCCUGUGAGAGUAGGACGCCGCCAAGC
rnacentral:rRNA from 1 species